AUUGAACGCUGGCGGCAUGCCUUACACAUGCAAGUCGAACGGUAACGCGGGGCAACCUGGCGACGAGUGGCGAACGGGUGAGUAAUAUAUCGGAACGUGCCCAGUAGUGGGGGAUAGCCCGGCGAAAGCCGGAUUAAUACCGCAUGAGACCUGAGGGUGAAAGCGGGGGAUCGCAAGACCUCGCGCUAUUGGAGCGGCCGAUAUCAGAUUAGGUAGUUGGUGGGGUAAAGGCCUACCAAGCCGACGAUCUGUAGCUGGUCUGAGAGGACGACCAGCCACACUGGGACUGAGACACGGCCCAGACUCCUACGGGAGGCAGCAGUGGGGAAUUUUGGACAAUGGGCGCAAGCCUGAUCCAGCCAUGCCGCGUGCGGGAAGAAGGCCUUCGGGUUGUAAACCGCUUUUGUCAGGGAAGAAAUCUUCUGGGUUAAUACCUCGGGAGGAUGACGGUACCUGAAGAAUAAGCACCGGCUAACUACGUGCCAGCAGCCGGGGUAAAGAGUAGUACA
rnacentral:rRNA from 1 species